UACGAAGGGGGCUAGCGUUGCUCGGAAUUACUGGGCGUAAAGCGCACGUAGGCGGCUUUCUAAGUCGGGGGUGAAAUCCUGGAGCUCAACUCCAGAACUGCCUUCGAUACUGGAGAGCUUGAGUCCGGGAGAGGUGAGUGGAACUGCGAGUGUAGAGGUGAAAUUCGUAGAUAUUCGCAAGAACACCAGUGGCGAAGGCGGCUCACUGGCCCGGGUACUGACGCUGAGGUGCGAAAGCGUGGGGAGCAAACAGGG
rnacentral:rRNA from 1 species